CGUGCUUAACACAUGCAAGUCGAACGGUGAAGCAGGAGCUUGCUCUUGUGGAUCAGUGGCGAACGGGUGAGUAACACGUGAGCAACCUGCCCCUGACUCUGGGAUAAGCGCUGGAAACGGCGUCUAAUACUGGAUAUGUGACGUGACCGCAUGGUCUGCGUUUGGAAAGAUUUUUCGGUUGGGGAUGGGCUCGCGGCCUAUCAGCUUGUUGGUGAGGUAAUGGCUCACCAAGGCGUCGACGGGUAGCCGGCCUGAGAGGGUGACCGGCCACACUGGGACUGAGACACGGCCCAGACUCCUACGGGAGGCAGCAGUGGGGAAUAUUGCACAAUGGGCGAAAGCCUGAUGCAGCAACGCCGCGUGAGGGAUGACGGCCUUCGGGUUGUAAACCUCUUUUAGCAGGGAAGAAGCGAAAGUGACGGUACCUGCAGAAAAAGCGCCGGCUAACUACGUGCCAGCAGCCGCGGUAAUACGUAGGGCGCAAGCGUUAUCCGGAAUUAUUGGGCGUAAAGAGCUCGUAGGCGGUUUGUCGCGUCUGCUGUGAAAUCCCGAGGCUCAACCUCGGGCCUGCAGUGGGUACGGGCAGACUAGAGUGCGGUAGGGGAGAUUGGAAUUCCUGGUGUAGCGGUGGAAUGCGCAGAUAUCAGGAGGAACACCGAUGGCGAAGGCAGAUCUCUGGGCCGUAACUGACGCUGAGGAGCGAAAGGGUGGGGAGCAAACAGGCUUAGAUACCCUGGUAGUCCACCCCGUAAACGUUGGGAACUAGUUGUGGGGUCCAUUCCACGGAUUCCGUGACGCAGCUAACGCAUUAAGUUCCCCGCCUGGGGAGUACGGCCGCAAGGCUAAAACUCAAAGGAAUUGACGGGGACCCGCACAAGCGGCGGAGCAUGCGGAUUAAUUCGAUGCAACGCGAAGAACCUUACCAAGGCUUGACAUAUACGAGAACGGGCCAGAAAUGGUCAACUCUUUGGACACUCGUAAACAGGUGGU
rnacentral:rRNA from 1 species